UACGUAGGGUGCGAGCGUUGUCCGGAAUUAUUGGGCGUAAAGAGCUUGUAGGUGGUUUGUCGCGUCUGCUGUGAAAAUCCGAGGCUCAACCUCGGACUUGCAGUGGGUACGGGCAGACUAGAGUAUUGCAGGGGAGACUGGAAUUCCUGGUGUAGCGGUGAAAUGCGCAGAUAUCAGGAGGAACACCGAUGGCGAAGGCAGGUCUCUGGGCAUUAACUGACGCUGAGGAGCGAAAGCAUGGGGGAGCGAACAGGA
rnacentral:rRNA from 1 species